UACGGCCGCAUCAUGUCGAAACAUAAGUUCCCGUACGAUCACCGAAGUUAAGCAACACCGAUCCUGGUCAGUGCCUAGAUAGGUGACCGCUUUGGAAUAUCAGGUGUUAUAA